rnacentral:lncRNA from 1 species
AAAAAAAAAAAAAAAAAAAAAAAAACCUUUGCGUGACGCAGGUGUACCUACGUUGCGCAAAAUUAGGAAAAAAGCGGUAAAACAUCUUGGUUUGGCACCAAAACUUUGCGCGACAAAGACUGGAGUCGCGCAAAAUGUCUUUGCGCGAUGCCAGUCUUCGUCGCGCAAAGUUUUGUUGCGCAAAACAGCUUUGAACGACGUUUUAUUUUUAGCGUCGCGCAAACAUACUUUGCGCGACGAAAUUUGCUACGUCGCGCAAACAUGUUUUUGUACUAGUGAUCUGACACAAUUUCUGUCGGUUUUAGAGUAUUUUCUAUCGGAGAAUUCAUUUCCUGAUGCUGGAAAUUCUGUCGCUUAUUAUAUCCGCCACUGCAUUCGUUUUCUGUCGGAUUUUGCUUAAUAUCCAACAGUAAUACACAUUUCUUGGCGGUUUUCAUAGCGACACUAAUAAAUGGAUUUGUAGUAGUGAACUUGAAUCAAGGUUUAGGGUUUUCCAAGCAUUUGACGCCGUUCAAAUUGAUGCGAAAUUAAAAAAAAAAUGUAGUCAUAUUAUGCAAAAUUAAGAAAAAUGUAAUCAUACUUCAUGCGCAGCAUCCAAACAACGAUUCAAAUAUUUCAUUCGCAAAAAAUAACCUUUUUUUUUUAUCAACGUGUUUUCUUGCAGUCCCCAUCUCCCACAUUGAUGAUAAGUGAAGAUGUGUCGUGGAGCCUACCACAACGUUAUGAGCUGCACACUUGGUAUUUUAAACUCUAGUGAACGCACAAAUUUGAUACACAGCUUAUUUCCAAAUCAGCCAUAGACUUAAAAUUCAACACUCCCCUUUAAGUCUAAAGCUGAUUUCACUCCAAGCAUUCUUUUGAGAAGACUGAAUCGAUCCUUUGCGAGUGGCUUUGUGAAGAUGUCUGCCAAUUGCUCUUCUGUGGGACAACACACCAAGUCAAUAAUGCCUUUCUGCAAUGCAUCUUUGAUAAAGUGAUAUCUCCUAUCAAUGUGCUUGGUCUUUUGAUGGAACACAUAAUUCUUGGUAAUGGCAAUGGCAGAUGUGUUGUCACAGUGAAGAGGGGUUGCUUCAGUUUGUAAUUCUCCAAAAUCCUCCAGAACAAACCUCAACCAUAUUGCCUGAGCUGCGGCUUCAGAUGCACUUAUGUAUUCAGCACCUGCAGUUGAAAGUGCAACACAACUUUUUCUGCCCCUUCGAUUAUUUUCCGACAAAGUGUAGAAGGGGAAUUUGUCACUAUAACAUGAACUUUGAAGCUAGCUAAACAGAUCUGGGGUCUUUGAAAAUGACAUCAAAUAUUAGAAAAAUCGAUGCUGACAAAAGUGGUAUAUUCAAAUGCUUUAAGGGAGUACAUUCAACACCAUUAAAUACCACAAAGCACACAAUAAGGAAAUAAAAUAAUAAAAAUAUAGCAAAAAGUCCAUAAAUGUUUUCCAUGUAAGUGCCACUUCAACUUGGUUAACGGAAACACAACAGACUUGAUGGAAUGGGGUAUUUUGAAACAUGAGGCAUAUCAUAAGGAGGGAGGGGGGAAGCUAGACGCAUAUCAUAACUGUAACAAAGCCUAAUAAAUAUUCUUCCAUUGAUUGAAUCUCCCCACAAGAAGUUUUAAUUGGGAAAGCAUACAACAUGCCAUAUUCAGAUUCUUCUACCAUAGAUACGGAUUACACAGGCCCUGGUCCCAAAAGCUUAAGAUGUUAGGGAAUGGGUGAACAAGGGAUGCCAAGCUUACACCCUCCCUCACAUGCAGAAUGGGCAGCAUGUGGAGGAACAAACAGAUGGAAGGAGAAAAAGAACAUAGUAGUGCAGCCUGACCAUGCACCAUUCACACAGCAUAGAAGCAGGCAUCGAGAUCAAAAGUUUUGAACCCAAUACCUCUUGCAAACUACUAACAAGGCUCUAAUACCAUGUUAGUUAACCACUGGCCCCAAAAGCUUAAGUGAUGAGGGAAUAGAACCGCAAGAAUUAUCAGGAUUACAACAACGACUAAACAUCCAUGGGUUGACAGAAGUUAAACACCACUGCAUUUGCCUCGACACGAACAAAAGAUGUACCUAUACAGUCCCGAUAUGACAGAAUAACCCUAGAUAUUCAGUUAUGCCUUUUAAUUGGACUAUGCUCAGAUAAAAUUUGGAUUGACAAGGUGUGUGAUCAAAUUUCUAUAUAAGAAUCUCAGAACAAAACUCAUUUAUUUCUUUUGUGUUUGGAAAGUCCGAAAAACUCAGUUCAACCAUAGUUUUCUAUUGGAAAGAAGUAUCGAUAGAUCCUUUUAUUUUCGUUGAACAUCAAAUAAGUACUGGAACAACUAGAAGUCUAGAACAAAUGUGAAAAAUCCCAAUGGCAAUGCACUAACUUAAAUUCAGAUCACAUUUAAACUCACACGAAAAUGCAUCAUAUGCAAAACCAAAGCUAAAUUGAUAUAAAGUUGAGAGAACAAUAAGAAUAUACCAUUUGUUACAAGUGAACCUACCGCUGCUCGUUUUAUCUGCUAUGAUCUUUCUUAAGAUCUUUCCACUGAACUUCAAAUUUCAAUAGGCCCUGCUCUAAGAACGACUUCUCAAGGUGGUACCUCAAUUCCCGAAAGUUUUGAUGCAAUUUUGCUAUUUAACAGAAAAGAACAAAAAUAAAUCUAGUAAGCUACUACAGGCCAAUCAAAUUGUAACAAAAAAGAAAUGAAAUUUAAAACAUGCAGCCAUUAUCAAAGGCAAAUGGAAACAUGGGUAUCUAAUAAAAACUCAAAACUCACCAAUUGCAUUAUCCAAUUCCUCUAAGCAGUUGGCGCCAUUUCAGAACUCCAGCACAAAAUACCCACCUGGGUAUUGUGCUUUUCUGGCAGAUUAAGCUUGUGGGGAAUCUGGGGAUCUGAUUGAAGAAAGAAGGAGAAUUUACAGUCAACUAUGUGACUGUGAUGGAAUUUGAGGGCGGUGAGGUGAAGGAGGCUUCGAUUCCUCAGCCCACCAAUUAGCUCUGUUGCAUGAAUUCAUAAGGAGAGCAGGUUUAAUAUUUUUUAUUUAUUUAAUUUCCAUUUUUGGGGUGAGAAGAGAGCUGGGUUUUGUGAGAGAAGAAAAUCUGAGAAGUGUUUGUUUGACCUGGACGGUAGAACAGAGAACUCGGGAUUCUUGGGAGGAUUUCUCAACGAAGAAGAAGAAAGUGGACUACUCUGCUCAGGCCCACCAGCAAGUAUAUUGGUAGGCCGAACCCACUUUUCAUCUCUGCUACAUGAAAAUAAAAACAGUUUGAAUUAGCAUUUUUUCCUAAUACAAACGAUAUUUUACAGUAAGGAGAAUGAGAGGGUUGAAUUCAAGACACCGUGAGUUGAAGAAGAAAAGACUAAUAAAUGUGAUUUAAAUCAACUUUUUAUCGCAACAUACAGAGGCAUGAACGGGGGAAUACAACACCAUAAGGAGGAAUUCAUAGAUCUUUAUAUUCUACUACAUAACCUAAACAAGAGGCAUAUGGCAAUAGCCAAGUUUUACGAUAAAAGGAUAGGACAAAGGGAGAGGCUUGUAGGUCAUUUGGUUAAGAGCAUUUACCAUUGCACUUGAGGUCCAUAUAUGUUUGUCCAUGCGAUUCUCAUGACUCACUGAUUAAGGAGUUGUUGAUGUUAUUAGUUUGUUUGUACCGUUAGUUUUGUUCCGAGUACAAUGUGUUUGGAUUAGUAUGUGGAGGACAAGUAUCCUCUGAGACCGUCAUUACCCGAUAACCCUCAGCUAAAAGUUAUUAAUCUCUAGGUAAGUUAAGGAACUCAUUUUUGUUCAUUGCUGGAACACAGCCAAGAAACAGAAAUUUGCAGUGCAUCAAAACUUGUGUAAGAAGAUUCUACAAAUGCUACAAAUUCUAUAGCACUUGAAGGGCUUUCUGUUUUAGUUGUUUUAGACAAAAUAAAGAAUAGGACUUAUCUUUUCUUUGAUCGCAAUAGGAUGCUACAUACAACAACACCACACCCUAAAAGUUAAAAAGUAAGGCAAAUUCAAAUGAAAUACCACCUUUCAAUAAAGAUUUUAAGGAAAAAUACCACUAGUCCAUUCUAAAAAUUGUGAAUAAAUACAUUUACAUAGAAACGUUUAUAUUUUUGUCCCCAUUGCAAGCGUUACAUAGAAACGUUUAUAUUUUUGUCCCCAUUGCAAGCGCUCCACAUACCACCAGUGCCAAUUUCAAAAAUUGUUGUCGGCCAGAGUCCUUGUGGUUACAAAUUUUUUCUAGUUGCUGAAAAUUUUCAAGUCACUUUUACAUAGUGACUUAAAAAAAUACGUGCAACUUUUUCAUUUUCAAUUAUGUUUUGUUGUGUGAGUUUACUUUUUUCUUCUUCACAUAUGUACGUAAAUACAAUAAAAUUAGAGAAAUUAUGAGAAAAUUCAUUACUUAGCAUGUUCUUUUUGAAGGUCAUUGUUAGAGAGUGACAUUAAACUGGAAAAAGUUGUCGGUCGCCUGAAAAUUUGAAGGUCAUAUUGGUCGUCGGAAAAUUUGAUCAAUCAGUUGCAAGAAAAAGUUGCUCGGUCGAAAAACAUGGUAGAAUUAAGUGACAAUCAUGUAAUUAAUUUGAAUUAGUAAUAUUUAUAGAAUUGUUUUGGUUGAUUUUUCCAUUGAUAGCUAAACUGAAAAAACAUGGUAUUAUUCAUAUAUGCAUCAGACCUCCUGAGAAACGAGAGAUUCCCCAAGGAAUGAAGGAUCUAUCCUGUUAAAUUAUACUUUUUUAAAUUAAAUACUUCAAACGUCUGCUAUAUUGUUUUCUGUAAUCCUUGUCCUGAGCUAACCCUAUUCAGGUCUAUCAUAACCACCUUCCACUUGGCCGGUGGCAAUGCCUCCAUCUUUGCCCAACAGCAACUCAUUUGCUUCUAAAAACCAAGUCAUAUCACGACUAAUGACCAAUCUACUACUUUCAUGCAGUGUCAAACAUUCCACGGUCACGGUCUAAACUUGCAGGUCAGACCGUGCGGUGGAGCAUGGAUAUGUCAUCUAACACCUCAUUAGAUUAUUUGAUGACACUUGAGGCUAACUAUUGUCCUAAUUUGCUUCAUGGUGAAUAUAAACUCAAUCGGUGGGCAGUAUAGUAUCAUAGUUUCAAUUGUUAUUUCAAAUAGGGCAUGCAAAUAGUUCUAUUUUUGGAAGAAAAAAAAAAUGCAUGCAAGUUGAUAAACAAAUAAAUAAAUGUGUAAAUGUGUUGAACUUGCAACCACCAAGCCACCAAAUGUCUAAGUGCAGAGGUGGAAAGGUAACUACACGACGCCGCCUACCACUUUAGAAUUUAGAUACAUAACAGAGUUUAGUUUGAACUCUGAACUUGCACAAUUCCGUAUAUACCUCGCCAUUUUUCUCUUAGAUGGAAUUAUUGUUGAAAUCCCACAUCGGUGGGUGAAAAAGAAAAUUAUGGGUUUAAAUAUGAUUGCCUUACAUUAAUUAACAUUGUGAUUUUUCAUGGUAAAACUUCAUAUUUGACGGAUUUGGCAGGUGGUAAAGUUAGAAACAGUAUUAAAGUGAAACCCCAUGGGCCCCACCGAUCCAAAAAUCCAACGAUUAUGUACAUCGAUUACGUAACUUCAUCAAGCUAUACAUAUCAAUUACGUAACUUCUUUAACAUUAAAAUACUAUAAUUAAGUUUUGAUACGUUGGGAUAAGUAUGAGAAUGACCACAAUUCCACAUUCGAGAACAUAAACCAAAGAAAACAUUACUGAAAUUUAUCAUAUAGUAUUAGAAAAUCUCAAACAAAAUUGAAUGACAAUUGAUAAGAUAAUAGGCUAAACGUUUUAUGUAUGGUACCUCCUCCUGUAUAUAGCCCCAGAAACUUUAGGAGACUAAAUACGAAUACAAUUAACAAAAUUGAAUGACAAUUGGUAAAGAUAACAUGCUAAACAUUUUAUCUACGGUACCUCCUCCUUUAUAUAGCCCUAGAAAUUCUAGGAGCCUAAAUACGAAUACAAUUAAACAAGUAACAAAAAAAUAAAAAACAACAAUCUCUUCGAAACGUCAACACAUUAUAACAAUGAGUUUGAUGUGCAUUGUCAGUCUUUUUGAAAUGAUAUAUAAUGAUUCCAAAUCAGACACUAAAGCUCAAAUUAAUCUAUAAAGCUUUAUUCUUGCUGCUCGAUUUGCGCCUUUCGACUUGAUUUCAGUCUGUUCCGCAAUCUAAUUUAUAUCAGUCCCUCCCAUAUAGAGGAGCCCUCUCCUACAGUUGUGAGACUCAAUUAUUUAGUUGACCAAACUCAUUAUAACACAUGUGUAACUUCUCCAUUAUUAUAAUAAAAAUGCCAGCCAACUUCAUGGACCAAAUUAAGGGUGAACCGGAUAAAUGCAUUGCGUUGUGUACAACGAAGGAAGUGACACCCAACCAUAUUUUUAGGUGCCUAUUGGGUAGGGAUGGCAAUGGGGUGGAUUGGUUCGGAUGUGCCAUCCUCAUACCCCGAACAUGUUUAUUUUUCCCAAACCCGAACUCGUAGAAUCCCUGAAUGGGUUUUCCCCAUAACCAAACCAGUCAGGUGACAGAUUUUUGAUUGGGGACGGUUUUCCCCAUUAUGUUAUUUAUAUAGUUAUUUAUAUUAUUAACUAAAUGAAGAAAAUUAAAUAAAUUGCUAUUAUUAAUACAAUGCAUCUAAUAAGUAAUAUUAAAAAUUUAUAUUACUAAGAAAACAUUUACACUCUUGGAAAUUAUAAGCGUAUAAUUCCUAUUAUUAAUGAUAUAAAAGUAAAUAAUUAAUUUCAUAUUUAAUAAUGCAUGAUUAUUAACAACCACUUUUUUAUAUAAUAAAUAUUUAUAUUUUUUUAUUCAUAGAUGAAAUGGUUCGGUUUCGAGUAUGGGUUUGGGGCGGAUACCCCAAUAACCAAAACCGAACCCGAAAUCGAAAAAUUUACCCAAUGGUUACCCAUAACCGUAAAAUACCCGAAAUUAGAUGCCCGAAACCGAACCAUUCGGAUCGGUUACUUACUUGCGGGGAUCGGAUUUGACGGGUUAAAUUGCCUUCCCUACUAGCGGGCAUCUAUAUAAGAAGGAAUCAGAGUCUUCCUAUAUCAAGAUCUAUCCAUUGUGCUUAAGGAGUUAUUAGAAAUAGCUUCAAAACCAACGGCAAUAUUUUGGUCUGAGGUAAAUCUCGUCUCUUGUUUAUGAUAUAUAUGCAUGCUUUAAAAUAACUUACCGUUAUGAGUCAUCUGUGAGCAUUGUGAAAUGUUCUUAACUAAAUCAAGGCCAGGAUUUCAUUACUUGUUCUCCAAAUUUCAAUUAUUUUGUUUACAAUAACCAGAUAUUAUCAAUAAGCAUGUUAUUAUUUCUAUAUAAAAAAACUUGGCAUGAAACUUGUUGAUGCACAAAAUCGGUGAGGACUUUGGUUCAAUAGAAACUGUUAAGUUUGUGACCUUCGCUAGAUUGCUCCGGUCACUAGUGUGGAUAAGUAUGUAAAUGGAUAGGGACAGGGAAGCAAACACAAGAUGUAUGUGGUUCACCCAGAUUGGCUACGUCCACGGAGUAGAGGAGUUCUCAUUAAUUGUGAAGGGUUUACACAAGUACAUAGGUUCAAGCUCUUCUUUAGUGAGUACUAGUGAAUGAUUUAGUACAAAUGACAUUCGGAAAUAUUAUGAGAGAAUGAUCUCUAUUUAUAGAAGAGAGUUUCUAGUUUCAUUCUGACAUUGACACGUGUCGUGUUGUGAUUGGCUUCUGAUGUUGACACGUGUCGCGCUAUGAUUGGCUUCUGAUGUCGACACGUGUCGCGCUGUGAUUGGCCUCCUGGUUGGAGGGAAACUCUUCUGGGUCCUUGACGGUAUAACAUUAACCGGUGCUCAGUAGUUUCGGGAUUGGUCAAGUAUGGUACAAACAGUGCUCCCUUAAGUUUCCGAGUGAGGGAAGCUCUUCGGUUAGGGACUUGCAAAAUCCAAGCCAUUGAAUAAUCACGAAACUUAUAAGUAUGGAAGUGUGGUAUCAUUUUCACUUGCCUUAUCUGUCUCAUAUGUAGAUAUGGCAUCUUCUCUUGAAGUACUUUUCCUCCAUCCAGGGGUGGUAUCCUUAACCGAUGAAGAUGCACAAGGUAAUGUAUAAAUUUUACUUGAAGCUUACUUGUAGUUUCGAGCUUGGUCAAGUGAGAUACAAACCCUAUAGUAAGAGUUCCCCAAGUUGUCGAGCUAGGAGAUUUGCCAAAAGAGAUAACCGACAAGGUAAGCAAUCAGACUUCCAAGCAAGCAACCUAGAUCGGAGGUUCGACUUCAACUUUCGGUUGAUUGUUCUCAUUCUCCUUAUGUCGUAAACAGCAACAAGGAUAAGGAGAAGCAAAUGGAGAAGAGGUGAUAUGAGAUAUUUUUGCUUUUGAAGAAGUAACUUUCCACAGGCUUAUUCUUGAACUGGGCUGAAAGGUUUUCUGGUUUUCUCCAGAGUAUAAGGCCGACUCAAGAAUUUGAGGGUCAAAAUAAGUCAAUCAAAUCUAGAGUACGUUCGACCCUGAUGAUAUGGGAUACUUUUGCUGUUGACAAAGUAAUAAAUGAAUUGGCACGUGUUCUGUUGCGCUUGUCUCCAUAUGUUUCCUUGUAUCCUUCUCACUUGCCCUAUCUGUUCCUCAGGCAGAUGUGGCAUCUUUUCUGGAAGCAUAAGAUGUUGAAGAUGAGUACUCGAGAGCAAUGCCAGAUAAGUAAUCAGGCAAGGAGUUCCAGGUAGUCAGUUCCUGACUGGGAGCUUGAUUCCAAGUGCUGACUGAUUACUCACUUUCUCCUUAUCUUGCAGGUAAGAACAAAGCCAAAGGAAAAGAUAGGGAAAAAGCAUGAUAUAUGAUACUCUUGCUUUUAACCUUGAUGAUAUGAGAUACUCUUGCUCUGGUGUGGCUUGUUUGCAGAUGUGUUAUCGGGGGGAAAAGAAGCUAAGUAUUUCCAGAGACUCUGCUGAGAGUGCCUUCUCGGAUGUGAAGAAAAGUUGAGCAUUUUUUUAUUUGCAGGUCUGCUUGGCUGUGGAGGAUGAAGGUUGACAUAUAUAGGAAUUGUCCUAACAGCUAGUGGUAACAUUGUUCAUUUACCCUUCUCGGUCAUAGCAAUGUAGUGGGAGUUGCAAGAUUCAAGUGUUUUAACUUUGUCAGAGCACUUUGAAAAAGUGGUCUAUGAUAUCUGGAAAGCUAAUGUUGCGUGUGAAGAUUGCAGACAAGCUUUAUCCAAGGAAAUCUGGCUCUUGAAGUUCGGAGAGCGGUGCCUCUUCGGUUUUCAAACAAGCAAUACUGUUGGGGAUUUGGCUUUCGAGAUUCGGAGAGCGUUGCCUCUUCGAUUUUUGAACAAGCAAUCCUAUUGGGGAUCUAGCUCUCGAGGUUUAGAGAGCGGUGCCUCUUCGAUUUUUGAGAAAGUAAUCCUGGUGGAAGUCUGGCUCUCGAGAUUCGAAUAGCAGUGCCUCUUCGAUUUUUGAUAAAACAAUCAUGUUGGGAGUCUGGCUCUGGAGAUUCGGAGAGCGGUGCCUCUUCGAUUUUUGAGAAAGUAAUCUUGUUGGAAGUCUGGCUCUCGAGAUUCGGAGUGUGGUGCCUCUUCGAUUUUUGAGCAAGUAAUCUUGUUGGGAGUGUUUUCUCAAAUGUGAGUAAAAGUUGGACAUUUUUGCCAAUCUGCCUUGCCAUGGAGCACGAAGGUGGACACACAUAGGGACUUUCCAGUUAUCAAGUAGUGGUGUUGUUCCUUUACCCUUGUGGGUAAUAGUAAGGUAGCUGGACCUUCAAAAUUGAUGUGUCUAAACUUUGUCAGAGAUCUUUGGCAAAGUUAUCUGUGGUACCCGAUAAGCUGAUGUUGCGUGUGGAGAGUGGUGCCUCUUCGAAAUCCGAAGAGUGGUGCCUCUUCGAUUUUUGAACCAACGGCCCUGUUGCCCUUUCUUUUAUAAGGGCACACAUUGUGUGCAAGAAGUACAUUCGGAGAGUUAUUGCUUGUAGGAAUUUUCCCCUUAUUUUUGUACUUCAGAGAUUUAUUGCAUCUCAUUUCUCCUUCAUCAUUUCUAAGAAUAUCUGGCCCAUUCGACCAUCGUUUUGACUUGAACUUUGGUGAAGAGGCAGCCAUGCCUUUUUAAGACAACAUAUGGCGCCCAUCCUUCUUAUCCCCUACUGGUCCUCUUACUGUUGGGGACUCUGUGAUGAAGAAUGAUAUGAACGCUGCGGUGGUGGCUAGGAACCUUCUCACUCCCAAAGAUAACAGACUACUUUCCAAACUAUCUGAUGAGUAGGCUGUUAAGGAUUCUCUGGCUCUCAGUGUUCAGUGUGCAAGUUCUGUGUCUAAUAUGGCCCAACGCCUGUUUGCUCGAACCCGCCAAGUUGAAUCAUUGGCUGCUGAAGUGAUAAGUCUCAAACAGGAGAUUAGAGGGCUCAAGCAUGAGAAUAAACAGUUACACUGGCUCGCACAUGACUAUGCUACAAACAUGAAGAGGAAGCUUGACCAGAUGCAGGAAUCUGAUGGUCAGAUUUUACUUGAUCAUCAGAGGUUUGUUGGUUUGUUCCAAAGGCAUUUAUUGCCUUCGUCUUCUAGGGCUGUAUCGCGUACUGAAGCUCCAAAUGAUCAACCUUCGGUGCCUCCUCCUUCUAGGGUUCUGCCUAGUACUGAGGCUCCGAAUAAUCACCCUCCGGUGCCUCUUAUUUUUGGGGCUCUGCCGAUUGCUGAGACUUCUCCUGAGCAACCUUUGUGAAGGCUCCCUCUUGUUUGUUUAUUUUGAUUCAUGUAUAUGUACAUAUUUGUAACUUAUCGGAGAUAUCAAUAAACAAGCUUUGCUUCAUUUCAACGUAUUGUGUUAAAUACAUCAAGGCCUUCUUCACUAAGUUCUUUGAAUUUUUUCUUUUGUUGAAGCUUGUAUGUUGAAGCUUUGUGAGUGAAGCAUGUAUGUUGAGAUAGUGCUCCCUUAAUUUCCCGAGUGAGGAAAACUUAUCGGUUGGAGACUUGAAAAAUCCAAGUCACUGAGUGGUCGUGAGACUUCCGAGUAUCAAGGUGCAGUAGCAUAUGGUAGGAGUCCCCCAAGUCCCCGGUUGAGGGAGUUGACAAAGGAGGUGUCUUGCUAGUAGCCAAGUUUCUAAAGUAACAAAACUUCACCAUUUUCCUUUCUAAGGGGUAGCCCAAAACUCCUCAUUCGUAUAUAUUUGUUAUAAAAGUUGUUAGGCCCAAAGAAGAGGAGGCCUAGGCAAUUUGUUUUUUGUUUUUCGAAUUUUUUUUUUAAUUUUUGAAUUUUCAAAUUUUUGAAUUUUUGAAUUUCCGAAAAAAAAAAAUAUAUAUAUAUAUAUAUCUAUAUAUUUUAAGCUUUGUAGGUGAAGCUUUGGUGUAGAAGCUUUGUAGGUGAAACUUUGAGGUUGAAGUUUUGUUGGGUACCAUGAAUUGAUUUUGCUUCACACUAUCUUGAUCAAGAUAGUGUGAAGCUUUUGUAGGUGAAGCUUUUGUGUUGAAGCUUUGUAGGUGAAGCUUUUGUGUUGAAGCUUUGUAGGUGAAGCUUUUGUGGUGGGUGAAGCUUUUGUUGGUGAAGCUUUUAUGGGUGAAGCUUUUGUUGGUGAAGCUUUUAUAGGUGAAGCUUUUUUAGUGGGUGAAGCUUUUGUUGGUGAAGCUUUUAUGGGUGAAGCUUUUGUAGGUGAAGCUUUUGUGGUGAGUGAAGCUUUUGUGGUGGGUGAAGCUUUUGUGGGUGAAGCUUUUGUUGGUGAAGCUUUUAUGGGUGAAGCUUUUGUAGGUGAAGCUAAUGUGGUGAAGCUUUUGUGGGUGAAGAUUUUAUGUUGAAGCUUUGUAGGUGAAGCUUUGGAGUUGAAGCUUUUGUUGGGUACCAUGACUUGAUUUUGCUUCACACUAUCUUGAGCAAGAUAGUGUGAAGCUUUUGAGAAUUUGUAGUUAUCCUCCUUUGAUGAAGCUUUUGUUGGUGAAGCUUUUGUGGUGAAGCUUUGUUGGGUACCAUGAAUUGAUUUUGCUUCACACUAUCUUGAUCAAGAUAGUGUGAAGCUUUUUAGAAUUUGUAGUUGUCCUCCAUUGAUGAAGCUUUUGUUGGUGAAGCUUUGUUGGGUACCAUGAAUUGACUUUGCUUCACACUAUCUUGAUCAAGAUAAUGUGAAGCUUUUGAGAAUUUGUAGUUGUCCUCAAUUGAUGAAGCUUUUGUGGUAAAGCUUUGUUGGGUACCAUGAAUUGAUUUUGCUUCACACUAUCUUGAUCAAGAUAGUGUAAGGCUUUUGAGAAUUUGUAGUUGUCCUCCAUUGAUGAAGCUUUGUUGAAUUUCCUUUUUUUUUUUUUUUUUUUUUGGGGAAACUAGAAAUUUGAAAAUGUGGGAGAGACAACAUAUACAAAUUUUGCUUCCACACUGUUGAGCAAGAGAUUGUGAUGUAAGCCACACCUUGUAGUAGUCGAAGGUUUGGAUGAACCAUAUAAAUUGAAUUUGCUUCGAACAGUCUUGAUCAAGAGUGUGUGUAGCUUUUUACGAGUUGUAGUUGCCCUUCAUUGAUGAAGCUUUUGUUGGCACCAUAAAUUGGUUUUGCUUCACACUGUCUUGAUCAAGAGUGUGUUUGAACUCCUUUGAUGAAGCUCUUGUUGGCACCAUAAAUUGGUUGUGCUUCACAAUGUCUUGAUCAAGAGUGUGUGAAGCUUUUGAGAAUUGUGGUUGCCCUCCAUUGAUGAAGCUCUUGUUGGCACCAUAAAUUGGUUUUGCUUCACACUGUCUUGAUCAAGAGUGUGUGAAGCUUUUGAGAAUUGUGGUUGCCCUCAAUUGAUGAAGCUCUUGUUGGCACUGUAAAUUGGUUUUGCUUCACACUGUCUUGAUCAAGAGUGUGUGAAGCUUUUGAGAAUUAUGGUUGCCCUUCAUUGAUGAAGCUCUUGUUGGCACCAUAAAUUUGUUUUUCUUCACACUAUCUUGAUCAAAAGUGUGUGAAGCUUUUGAGAAUUAUGGUUGAACUCCUUUGAUGAAGCUCUUGUUGGCAUCAUAAAUUGGUUUUGCUUCACAUUGUCUUGAUCAAGAGUGUGUGAAGCUUUUGAGAAUUGUGGUUGCCCUCGAUUGAUGAAGCUCUUGUUGGCACCAUAAAUUGGUUUUGCUUCACACUGUCUUGAUCAAGAGUGUGUGAAGCUUUCUACGAGUUGUAGUGUUUGCAUUGUUACGGAGGAGAAAUGUCUGAAGUAGAUGCAAGAGGGCUGGAUAGCUUGAUCUUCGUAUGCCAUGCACUGAAGUUGUUGUUGGCUUGCAAUAAGACUUUGUUGGCGACUAUAACUUUUGUUAGGCAUAAGUGAUCCCCUAGUUGAGUUGUCAAGCUUGAGGGUUUUUGAUUAUUUGUGAAUGCUAGGAGUUCACAUGUACAAGUUGUACCAUUCGUCUUCUGGUAGGUGGAAUAAAUGGUGAGUUGCUUUCAUCACUUGGUUGGUGAUACGAAUGUGAGUUCCUUCAUCACAUUUCAUCACCUGGUUGGUGGCACGAAGAUGAGUUCCUUCUUCACCUGGUUGGUGGCAUGAAUGACAAGUUGCCAAAUGAUAUUAGAGUACGGGUUGUACAUUUCAUCACCUAGUUGGUGGCAUGAAGGAGAGUACGGGUUGUACAUUUCAUCACCUGGUUAGUGGCAUGAAGAUGAGUUCCUUCUUCACCUGGUUGGUGGCAUGAGUGGCAAGUUGCCAAAUGAUAUUAGAGUACGGGUUGUACAUUUCAUCACCUGGUUGGUGGCAUGAAGGAGAGUACGGGUUGUACAUUUCAUCACCUGGUUGGUGGCAUGAAGAUGAGUUCAUUCUUCACAUUUCAUCACCUAGUUGGUGAGAAUAAGGGCAAGGUGUUUAGGCACAUUGUAGCAAGUGUCGAAUGACACAAAGUAUGUUGAACCAUUUCAAAGCACAGUUGGCUUAUGUAUGAAUGUGUUGGAAUGUAUGAUUGAACGAAUAUACUGUGAAGCUGUUCGUAUUUAUAUAGUCUUGUUGACAUAUACUUAGACUUUGUUUCAUGUUGGAAGCAUUCAUGUUGAAGCUUUGAACCCGAGUGUUUCAUUGCUAGGAAUGUAAGAGGAUUAGGACCGAGUUGUCUAAAUCACCUCUUUAUUGAAUUCAUGCCAAAUAGUUUUCGUUACAUAGGAUGUCGAACGGCUGAAGCUUAACACUUGUACAAUGUGAGUUUACUUGUAAUAGUACUUUAAGUGAUCAGCGUUCCAUGGAUGGCCAAGGGUCUUGCCAUCGGAGCUUCUAAGCUUGUAAGAGCCAGGGCGAUUGAUGCCAACAACUUCAAACGGUCCAUCCCAGUUUGGACUAAGUGUUCCUUCACUCAAGACUCUGUCACAAAGUAAUAUUUUCUUCAAUACCCAGUCCCCCACUUUGAAAGAACGAGGUUUGACCCUUGAGUCAUAGUAGUUAGAGAUGCGCUGCUUGUAGGCGACAUUCCUCAAGUGAGCCUGGUUUCUGUGUUCCUUUACUAGAUCUAAGUUGAGGGUAAGUUGUUUGUCAUUUUCACUUUGGAAGUAGUUUUGGACUCGCAACGUUGCUUGCUCAAGCACAACUGGGACAAUUGCCUCUGUACCAAAGGCAAGUGAGAAUGGGGUUUCUCCUGUUGAUGUCCGCGGUAUGACCAAAGAACUUGGGGUACAAAUUCUGGCCAACAACCUUUAGCCUUGUCCAAGCUGGUUUUCAAAGUUCGCUUGAUUAUUUUGUUGAUUGCUUCAACUUGUCCAUUAGACUGGGGAUGAGCUGGGGAGGCAAAACAUAAGUUGAUGUUGAACUUAGAGCAGAACAUCCUGAACUUAUUCUUGUCGAACUGUCGCCCUUUGUUAGUGACUAUCGCAUUGGGAUUGCUGAAUCUGCAAAGGAUGUUCUUCCAUAUGAAGUCUUCUAUUUUUGCCUCAGUAAUGGUUGCCAAGGGUUCUACUUCAGCCUACUUUGUGAAGUAGUCAACUGCAACGAUUGCAUAGUGAACAUUGCCUUUCCCUGCAUGCAUUGGGCUGGUCAAAUCAAGUCCCCAUUGGGCGAAAGGCCAAUGGCUGAUCACAGGAGUGAGCGGCUCGGGAGGGGAGUGAGGAAUAGUUACGUAGCAUUGACAUUUAUCACAUGAGCGGGAUAUUCUGAUGGCAUCAUGGUGGAGUGUUGGCCAGUAAUAUCCUUGGAGAAAAGCCUUGGGUGCUAGGGAUCGAGAUCCAGCAUGAUCUCCGCAGACUUCUUCAUGUAUUUUCCGAAGGACAAUUUCCGCCUCUGCAGGCGUAAGGCAUCUUAGGUAUGCUAGGUUAAAACCUCGCUUGUAGAGUUGGUCAUUAAUGAUCAAGUAACGGGUAGCCUUGUAUCGAAUCUGCUUAGCUUGGACUUUGUCAUUUGGAAGGGUGCCACGAGCAAGGAAUCUAUAAAUCGGGGUAAUCCAAUAAUCCCCCUGUUAUAAGUUGCACACUUCCGCAGCCAUGGUGCUUGGUGCUGCCAACAAUUCGACCUGAAUUUUUCUCCCAAUCUUGUCUUCUACCGCUGAGGCGAGGCGAGCCAAAGCAUCUGCAUGACUGUUUGCCGCUCGAGGAAUUUGGGUGAUCUGGUAGUGGAAGUGCUUGUGCAACAAUUGUGUUUGUGCCAGAUAUGCUGUCAUGGAGCUAUCCUUAGCUUUAAAGUUGUUAGUGACCUGGUUAACCACCAAUUGGGAGUCACUGAAGAUAUCAAUUCAUUUAACCCCAAGGUGUUUGGCCAAACGUAAGCCUACUAGGAGGGCUUCAUAUUCGGCCUCAUUGUUCGACGCCUUGAAUUUGAAACAAAGAGCAUACUCCAUCGCCACUUUGUCAGGGGUUGUAAGGACUAGUCCUGCUCCACAACCUUAUUGGUUGGACGAGCCAUCAACGUAUAGACUCCAUGUUGGGGCUAUUGGUUCUAUUUUCUGAGCUUCCGAGGGUAAUGAAACCACUUCUUUAGGUGUAGAAACAAUGUCAACAGGAUAUGUGAAGUCGGCGAUGAAGUCUGCCACUGCUUGGCCAUUUUCAGCUAGCUUUGGUUGGUAGGAGAUUUCAAACUCACCCAAUGUUAUCGCCCAUUUGAUCAUUUGCCCGGAAGUGUCAGGACUUUGGAGUAUCUAUCGAAGAGGAUGAUUGGUAAACACUAUGAUGGAGUGUGCUUGGAAGUAAGGGCGAAGUUUUCAAGCAGACAUGACUAAUGCUAGAGCCAAUUUCUCAAUGUUAGAGUAUCGUGUCUCCGCAUCUUGUAAGGCAUUGCUAGCGUAGUAGACAGGUCGUUCGACAUUACCAUCAUUUCGAAUGAGAACGGAACUUACUGUUGAAGCCGAUACCGACAGAUAGAUAACGAAAGUGUCACCAACCUCAGGUUUGGAUAGCAAAUGGGCUUUACUUAUGUAGUCUUUGAGGUUCUUGAAUGCCUCAGCACAUUUAUUAGUCCAUGUAAUGUACUUCUUACUUCCCUUAAGUGCUUUGAAGAAAGGAGCACAUAUGUCUGUGACCUUAGAGAUGAACCUAGUUAAGGCUGCCACCUUGCCAGUAAAGCUCUGGAUGUCUUUUGAAGUUACCGGUUCCUUCAUGUCAAGGAUUGCUUUGAUCUUCUCAGGAUUGACCUCAAUGCCUCGUUGGCUUAUAAUGAAGCCUAAGAAUUUGCCAAAGCCUACGCCGAAGGCACAUUUGUUGGGUUUCAACCUCAUUCGAUACCUCUUCAGAAUGGUGAAAGUUUCAGAUAGGUUGGUGAUGUGUUGGUCAGCAUGUUUGCUCUUGACUAGCAUAUCAUCAACGUAAACUUCCAUGUUUUUCUCAAUUUGUUCGGCGAACAUUGAAUUGACCAGUCUCUGAUAAGUUGCUCCUACAUUCUUUAGGCCGAAGGGCAUGACUUUAUAGCAAAAUAGUCCCCUGUCAGUAGUGAAGGCUGUGUGUUCUUGGUCCGGAGGGUUCAUGAGGAUUUGGUUGUAUCCUGAGUAAGCAUCCAUAAAGCUCAAAAGUUCACACCCUGCCGUAGAGUCUAUAAGUCUGUCUAUGAGAUGAAGAGGAAAGUUAUCCUUCGGGCAUCCUUUGUUUACGUCGGUGUAAUCGACACACAUUCUCCACAAGGCCUUUUAGAGCAGGAGACUUUCCUUGGUCGAAUUCUUCUUAACAAUGACAACAUUUGCUACCCACGUUAGAUAAUUGACUUCGCGGACGAAGCCUAUACCUUUGAGUUUUUCAACUUCUGCCUUCAUUGCCUCGUACCGUUCAGCGUCAUAAGAUCUUCGCUUUUGUUUCACUGGCUUGGUCUUGGGGUCAAUACUUAAGCGAUGACAGAUGAUAUUGAGAGAGAUGCCUGGCAUGUCCUCGUAUGACCAGGCAAAGACCUCAGUGUUCUCUUGCAAAAAAGAGAUCAAUGCCAACCGAAUGGGUGGUGACAAGGUGGUGCCAAUCCUCAUCAUGCAAUCCAGAUAAUCUUUUGAGAUAGGGACGUUCUCCAACUCUUCAACGGGUUGUGCUUGUUGGGUGAAAGAGUCAUCUCGAGGAUUGUCGGGUUGACUGUUGCCACCGUGAAGAUCCAAGUUGGCUUCGUUUGGGAUGGUCUUUAGGACUUUGUCAUGUAUAGAAAGGGUUUCCUUGGGCACAGACAAGUGUUGUUGCUUGACCAAAGUGUUGUAACAUGAUCGUGCACUAAGUUGAUCUCCUCUGAUGUAACCAUUGCCAUAGGGGGUUGGAAAUUUCAUCAACAACAUAUGUGUGGAUACCAUGGCCUUGAGAUCAUUGAUGCAUGUGCGUUCGAAUAUGACAUUGUAUGCUGUUAGGCAAUCAACCACCAGGAAGUUAGUGGUAAUGGUAGCUGUGUAAGAGUCUGUACCAAUGGUAAAAGGUAAAUGUAUGCUUCCCAAAGUUGCACGAUAUCACCAGAGAAGCUUAUCAGAGGGGAAAUCGAGCGAUCAAGCAAGUGUUCAGCUACAUUAAGUGCCCUGAAAGCUUCAGCAAACAUGAUAUUGACCGAAGCCCCUGUGUCUACCAGGAUUCGUCGUACUUCAAAGUUGGCUAUGUGAGCUUCCACAAUCAGUGGGUCGUUGUGAGGGUAGAUGAUACCUUUUUCUUCCUCAGGGUAGAAACAUAUUGGAUCCCAGUUAGGCUUUUGAUACUUACCUCCUCUGAUGUCUUCCACAUGAAACACUUGGUGGCCAGACCUUAAAGCUCGUUCAAUAUUUUUCAUGGCCCUGUUGGAAGAUUUAGAUAUGGGUGUGCCACCACUUAUGGAAUAUAUCACAUUCACCUGGCGUUGGUUACGGUUACCCCUUGGAGGGUGAAGGAGGAAUUGACAAUUUUUCCUUCACGUGCCAAAGCUUCAAUAUGAUCACGAAGGGUGAUACACUUCUCGCCGUCAUGGCCGUUAUGCUCGUGGUAGCAGCAAAACGUGCCCGUGUUCUUCGUAGGCUUGUAAUCCGGGUGCCUCGGCUUUGGCUUCGGUAUCAGGUGUGCUAUGCUGGGGUAAAUGGCCACACAUGUGGCGUUCAAAGGUGUGUAUGCCUCAUACCUUGGGGUAGAGGCAGUCCUGACACGUGCUUGACCCACUGUGUUGACUGCCUGGGGUCGGGGAUUAUCAUGGCGAUACCCUUGAUUAUUGCGGUAGUGUCCCUUACUCUUUUUACUAAAAUAAGCCUGGUGAGGAUGAAAAUCUUUCAUUUUGCCCUAAGAUUAAUAUGUCUGUUGACUUGGCAAAGUAUUAAGUAAGGUAGGGGGAUGCACCGCUGCCGUUUGGAAGGUCGAGGUCUUCUCAUUUGGUUGGAUCUGGCUUCCACUCCCUACUUGCUGAUAAGGGGUGGUUGUUGGGGGUUUCCCUUGAUAUGUCAUUGCCUCAGCAGAGGCAUGGUUGUAAGCCUGUGUCAUUACCUCAGAGUAAGUCUUCCAAGUGUUGGCAUUGAUCAUGUACUUGAAGAAACAAUCACGUAGGCCUGCCAUGAAGGCCUUGAGGGCGGUUUUGUCAUCUACCUCAGCGCAGCGAGAAUACUCAUGGCUGAAACAACCAACAUACUCUCGUAGUGACUCGUCCGGCUUCUGGUGAAUAAUGUACAAGUCAUCUGCAGAAUGCAAGCGAUCAGUCUAGAAGAUGUGUUGAGAGACAAACAGUUUCCUCAGUUCCUCAAAUGAGUCUACUGUCUCAGGUGGAAGACGGCAAUACUAGUUUAGAGCUCCGCCAGAGAGGAUGGAGGGGAAAAGAAGACAUCGCUCUUCAUCGGUAUGCAUCCGAUAUGCCAUGGUGGACUCAAAGAGGUUAAGGUGUUCAAUUGGGUCCUUCAUUCCAGUAUAGAGUUGCAAACCAAGCUUUUAUUUUGUCUUCGCUUGAAGGGGGUGUCGAGGAUCCUCCUUGUGAGAGGGCCAGACCUGGGUUGGUUCCAGUCAGGUAUCUCAGCCUGACGUUCGACCUUCAACUUGUUUACUUCCUCAAUGAGCUGUAGGACAAUGGGGUCCUGAGUGGAGUUAUGUACCAUUGGAAUUUUCUUUCGUAAGUCUCCAUCGCAUCUUGGAAGUAGGAAAGUUUGAGCAAGGGCGUGUAGUUUUUCCUUGGACUCGCCGUACUCACUUUUAGGGCGAGUUUGUCGGAAUACCUCAGAGUCCCAUGUACUUUCAUGUUCCUCUGGGACUUGUCGUUCCUUCCCUAGAUUGGCAGCUGGCCUGGGUCGUGGGAGGGGACCGAGUCUUUUAGAAACCCUUGGGUUAUUGAUCUUCGAGCAUAUGUGGAGGGGAUUCUCUCGACGUUGCUUUAGGAAGUCUCGACAAUCACGAUAAACGGCUUUUGAUCCUUCCAACCCUUAUGUCAGGAGGUGUCUUCCUCCACUUCUCCUGCUUCGGAUCGAAGUAGCUGGGUUGAUAGAAGUCUCAUGUUGAUCAAUGUUUUGAUGAUUAGCUCGCUCCUCAUCAGGGAUACCCAUGUCGAAGGAAGGUGACCCUCCGUGUUGGGGGGCACUCAGAUGAUGGUUGAUGUCCACAGGGGCAACGAGCUGGUGUGUUUGAGUACGCCUAGUUUCAUGGAACGUCUCAAAGAGCUUCUCAUACUGCUCUUGGAAGACCUCAUUCUUCAUUGUUAUCUUGUUGUUCUGAGCUUCUAGCUCAUCGACUUUAGCUUGAAGAGCAACCCUCUUUCCUUCUUUCUUUCGUUGCUUCGCACUAGGUGCAAGAGGGGUUUCAUUCUGUGUGUUGUGGCUUCCUUCGCUCCCCAUGUCGGAGAGGGAUGCCUGGUCAAAAGAGAGUGUACGAAUGGUGGAAACCAGCUUGACAAAGCUAAAGAGAGUGGGAAUAAGUGUCGUUCCCACAGACGGCGCCAAAUGUUGAUGCACAAAAUCGGUGAGGACUUUGGUUCAACAGAAAGUGUUAAGUUUGUGACCUUCGCUAGAUUGCUCCGGUCACUAGUGUGGAUAAGUAUGUAAAUGGAUAGGGACAAGGAAGCAAACACAAGAUGUACGUGGUUCAUCCAGAUUGGCUACGUCCACGGAGUAUAGGAGUUCUCAUUAAUUGUGAAGGGUUUACACAAGUACAUAGGUUCAAGCUCUCCUUUAGUGAGUACUAGUAAAUGAUUUAGUACAAAUGACAUUCGGAAAUAUUGUGAGAGAAUGAUCUCUAUUUAUAGAAGAGAGUUUCUAGUUUCAUUCUGACAUUGACACGUGUCGUGUUGUGAUUGGCUUCUGAUGUUAACAUGUGUCACGCUAUGAUUGGCUUCUGAUGUCGACAUGUGUCGCGUUGUGAUUGGCCUCCUGGUUGGAGGGAAACUCUUCUGGGUCCUUGACGGUAUAACGUUAACCGGUGCUCAGUAGUUUCGGGAUUGGUCAAGUAUGGUACAAACAAAACUAACCCUUUAUAUAUAUAUAUAUAUAUAUAUAUAUAUAUAUAUAUAUAUAUUAUAUAUAUAUAUAUAUAUAUAUAUUCUAUUUUCCGGAUAGAAAGACGUAUAUCUAGCUUCGAAAACAAUAUGGAGAAAUCAACAACUGCUGCUAUAUUGUUGCUCUUGUACUUUUUUGGGUUCUUCCCUCAACCAGAAGUUCACUCAUUCGCCAAUCCAUCUGAUGACCUUGGUAAAUAUAGUUUGAAAGUCCCAUUGGUUUUUCAAAGUAACUUACAUGACAAAUCAGUUUGAUAAAAAAUAGUUCUCCUUAUAUAUAAACUUUUUACCUCAUCUCUUUUGUUCAUAUAAUGCAGAUUUUGGCUACUUGAAAUUUGUACGUAACGCAACUGAUCUACCAUUACAAGAAGAAUAUGACUACAUUGUUGUGGGAGGGGGCACGGCAGGGUGUCCGUUGGCAGCAACUUUAUCUGCAAACUAAUCCGUGCUCCUUCUAGAAAGGGGCAAUAUUCCAUCAAAUGUGUUGCGUGACAAUGGGACUCUUGCAAAUUUCAUGCAAGAAGAUGACGGUAAGACGCCGGCCCAGAGGUUCACAUCAGAAGAUGGUGUAGCUAAUCUAAGAGGACGGAUCCUAGGCGGGUCAAGUAUGAUCAAUAUUGGUUUUUACUCAAGAGCCGACGGUGAAUUCUACCAGAAAUCAGGAAUUAAAUUGGACAUGAACUUAGUCAAUAAUUCAUAUGCAUGGGUUGAAAACACUGUAGCAUUCCGUCCGAAUGUAACACACUGGCAGUCUGUUGUGAAAGAUGCAAUGUUAGAAGCUGGUGUUCGUCCAGACAAUGGACUGACUUUGGAUCACAUUCUGGGAAGUAAAGUCUCGGCUACGCUCUUUGACGAUCGUGGAAAAAGACAUGGAGCUGUGGAACACCUAAAUAAAGCACAUCCGAAAAACCUGAGAGUUGCAAUUCUUGCCACAGUAGAGAGGAUCAUUUUCUCUUCCAAAGCAUCAGGUAUCCAAACACAUUUGAUAUAUACAAUUAUAGGUCAUUUAAAUUUGAAGAUAGUUGAGCUUCAAACGUAAAACCAAUUGACAAUACAGGGAGUGAUCCAAGUUACUUAUAAGCCUAUGCAAGGUUCAUCAUUCCAUUAAUAUAGCAUUCAUUCUCAACAAAAUUUCCAUAAACCAAAAUUGAAUCUAUCAUGGCUUUAAAAAGAGAGAAUCUUUGAUAUAUUUGAAGGAUUUGAAUCUAUUUGAAGGAUUUGAAUCUAUUCUGUUUACUUGUAAAUUAAAUAUAUGUCCAAUUCUAAUAUCGAUUUUAUGUAGGUUUGUCGGCUAAAGGAAUCAUAUACAGUGAUUCUAACGGGAGGUCUCAUCGGGCAUUGAUACGUGGUAAGGGUGAGGUUAUAUUGAGUGCAGAUGCAAUUGGAAGUUCUCAACUUCUACUACUUAGUGGUGUUGGCCCAAAAUCUUACCUUUCAUCUCGUAAAAUCCCAGUUGUUCACCCACAACCUUACUUUGGGCAGUUUAUGCGUGAUAAUCCUCGUAAUUACAUUACCAUUGUGCCCCCGUUUCAAGUAGAACCUUCUACUGCACAGGUUGCUGGUAUCACAAGUGAUUAUUACAUAGAGACUUUCUCCGGCUUGCCAUUUUCUACUCAGGCCUUUAGUCUUUUCCCUAGUCCAACUAUUCCCAUGAUCAUAAAUUCAAGUUUCGGGCAAAUUGCUGUCAAAAUUCCAGGACCCUUGUCCUAAGGUUCUCUUAAGCUGCAAUCAUCCUAUGAUGUCAAAGUUGCUCCAAAUGUCAAAUUCAACUACUUUGCACAGGAAGCAAACCUUUUUCGUUGUGUUAGUGCCGUGAGGAAAAUGGGUGAUUUAUUAAAAACAAACUCAUUGAAACCGUAUAAGGCUCAAGAUUUGCUAGUUCUAGAAGGUUUCAACCUUUUUGGACCGCCCUUACCAGUGAACCAGUCAGAUGAUGCAUCAUUUGAAACAUUUUGUCGAGAUACAGUAGCCACAUUUUGGCACUUCCAUGGUGGAUGCCUGGUCGGAAAGGUAGUUGAUGAAGAUUUGCGGGUCAUGGGGAUCAAGGCAUUACGUGUUGUUGAUGGAUCUGUAUUCAAUUUAUCACCAAGGACCAAUCCUCAAGCCACUCUUAUGAUGUUGGGCAGGUAUGCACGUUACAUGUGCAUUAUGAUGUUAGGCAGGUAUGCAUGUUACAUGUGCAUUUAAGUACACAACCACAAGAAAUUACCUGUACAUAAUACAACUACUUGGUAAAUAUUUAACUAAGUCCUUAAAUUGCUUAUUUAUUUAUUUAUUUGUGUAAGAAUAUAUAGUUGUUCUUUUCCCACACCAAAUUUUGUUCUUUGGGCAGGUAUGUUGGCGUUCAAAUGCUGGAAGAAAGAUCAGAGUGACACGUUUCUUUGAGAUUAUAUUCAAUUUGCCAUGCAAUGGAUUGAAGAUUAUUCAACAACCUUUAGUGUUAUGGUGUUUUCACUUAAGAUAAACUUAGUUAAUAAGGUCAUGAUGUAACUCAAGACUCAAGUGGUAGGAGGGAAAGAAUAAUUGAAAAUCAAAGCUAAAGGCACAUUAGUUGUAUCAGUUGUUUCUUCUUUUAGAAUUGUAAUUGAAAAGAUAGAUGCAGAGUGUAUUCAACAUGUAUGGUGUAUUUAAUAAAAUGUGGAGUGUGAAUAAACAUGUCCCACUAUUCAUUGUAUUUCAAUUUGAUCCAUCUAAAACUCACCCCAACUUUAAGUCAUAAACAUGUCCCACUAUUCAUUGUAUUAUCAAUUUACCUAUUUCGACUCCAACUUUGAGCUAGACGUGCUCAAUUGGGUGAAAUUUUUGAAUUGUCCUACUUUGAAGUCCAAUUGUGUUUUUCAUAGGAGUCAAGGGGCUGGUUUAAUUUUGGACAUGGUUUGUUUUUGGGGAUGGAAGUUGUGGUGCCAUCCUAUAAAGUUUAUCAUUUUUUCUCUAACAAAAUGUGAGAGAUUACUUACCGUACCGUGCACUCCAACAAACACUUGGGAGUAAUUUUUUCAAAGUGUCAAUUACGUCACCUUAAGACAACCCUAAAUAAUUUAGAGAACAUCCACCUUACCCAAACUAAUCACAUAGUCCACACUCUCCACACAAAUUUCACCAUGUAUGUACCAAAACUGUACACGUUUCAACAGGCAUCUAUAAAAAACUAUAUGUAGUUUCAACAAGUACCUACCAAAGCUGUGCAUACUUCCAGUAAGCUCCAGCCUUAGAGUACGUGAGUCUCUGACAAAUGAAAGGAUUCAAUAUUUUGGCAUGUAUCCACUGAAAUAACUUAACCAUUCGGUCAAGACCUACCAAAUCAUUAAAGUUUCGAUAGGAACCUACAAAAAACCUGAAUCAAGGCUUAGGGUUUUCCAAGCAUUAUGACGCCGUUCAAAUUGAUGCGAAAAAAGAAAGAAAAAAAAAUGUAGUCAUAUUAUGCAAAAUUAAGAAAAAUGUAAUCAUACAUGAUGCGCAGCAUCCAAACAACGAUUUCAAAUAUUUCAUUCGCAAAAAAUAAGCUUUUUUUAUUUUUAUUUUUUAUCAAUGUGUGUUCCUGCAGUCCCCAUCUCCCACAUUGAUAACAAGUGAAGAUGUGUCGUGGAGCCUACCACAACACUAGGAUAGUUGUUGGAGAAUGAGAGUACUCAAAUUUUUCCAUUCCAACAAUUAGUGUACUUGAUUACAAAGACCCUACACUGAUAUGCUACUGGACAGUAUUGUUGAAUUAUAAGCAAAAAAGAUUUGAUCUUAUUGAGAAAUUGAUGUCUUACUCUAUGACUUUUAGGGAACAAAACAAGAGAACAAUAGCCUGACAAAGGGUUUGGUCCGAUUCGGUUGCCCAUUUAGGUGCCAGAACCCCUCAUUGAUUUGAGAUAUUGAUAAGGUGAAUUCCCUGUCUAUUCAAUGCCAGGCAUAAUGAGUAUAAGGACCUCAAAAAAAACUGAGCUGAUUAGUAUUACUGAAUAAUCCAUAUGUUUAAUUGUGUAUUCACUUGUGCUUAAUAUUGCCAAGUGUAAGGCUCAAAUAUGUAAGGCCAUGAGUGUCAUGUGUAAUGAUCGUAGUUAUUAACUAGAUGAGUGGCUGAGAACAGUUUCUAGAGAGAGAUCCAGCUAAAGAGUUUCUAACGGUAUUAUUCCCUUUUACACGACUUGUGUGGGAGUGAGAGUAACAAUCAAUGAGAAGAAUAUUUUCCCUUGUGAUUUGCAGAGAGAAAGAAGCAACCAUUUUCUCUUUCUUGUGCAUUCAUCUCUCUUCAAUUCCUUCUUCUUCCAAAAUAUCAAUUUACUAGCUAUAUUUCAAUUUACACUAACAAGUAUACACACGACAUAGGCAAAAGCUUUCCUACCAAGUUGUUAGAUAACAGUGUGUGGGUAGAACCUAUAUAUGAUGAGUUAAUUAAUAGGAAAUUAAGAAUAUAACUAUUAGUGGCACCGGUUAAACUAAAUUAUGAUACAGGAGAAAACAUGAGGAAUUGAUCGAAAUCAAAUCUACUGUCAGCAUAUCUAUAUCAGUGAAGUGAUGAUUGAUCUUCAGAAAAACAUCUCUGCGUUUGGCAUGUAGGAAAACAAUCAACAUGAACUGCCUUAACUAUGUUAGAACCGGAUAAUUCUGAAGAAACCAUAGGGUGCUCCUAGGUGUGUGUGUGUUCACGAGAACUUCAUAGAAAUUAGAAAAGAUGUUGUCAACUAUAUACUUCCGUCCAAAUCCCUCCAGCUAGCCCUUCCAAAGUCAGUGAUGUGAAACACGUAUGGUCAAACAAAACAAGUAACAAGAGAAUGUACAACCAGAAUAAUUUACGAAAUGUUAUAUUGGCGAGAAAAAUAAACUCAACUAAAACAUGUACCAACAACCUUUGACAAAAACAAGAAUUGUAGAAUAACCACUUCUCCAUUAACAAACUAUAACAUGGAACUGAACAAUAGAAUAACCACUUCUCCAUUAACAAAAGUCCUACUAUCCAACUUUUAACAAAAAUUUCUACAUAAAACUUCUAUCACCCAAGUCAAAUUGCAAUAUACGGACCGUCAGCUUCUUUUCCUUUUCUGGAGUUCAAACUGCUUCAGUAAAGCUGAGAUACCCUCCUUCAUUGAGGCCCUCCUCUUUUGCUCAAAGUUCCAUAAUUCUGGUAUUGCGUACCUACCACUGGGAUUAUACUCAUUCAAUUCCAGCAAGGCAGUUGUCACAGCAUUGUAAACAUGAACACCGUACUCAUCCUUUAAAAUUUUCAGUUUGUCAUCUUUCUCAUCAAUAGUUUGCUGUAUGGUUAAAACAAACAUAAUCCAGUUACAAGGGCAUGAGAAAUGAGAUGUACUGGAACAAAUCAAUUGAGUACAACAAAGUUAGAGCAUGAUAAUGAUGAGCCAAAGAAACACAAUAAGGAAAUGAAAUAAUAAAAAUAUAACAAAAUGUCCAUAAAUUUUUUCCACGUGAACGCCACAUCAACUUGGUUGGUUAACAGAAACACAACAGACUUGAUGGAAUGGGGUAUUUUGAAACACAAGGCAUAUCAUAAGGAGGGAGGGGGGAAGCUAUGUGGGUGUUUUGAAACACAAGGCAUAAGGAGGGAGGGAGGGAGGGAGGGGGUUGGGGAUGGGGGAGCUAGACGCAUAUCAUAACUGUAACAAAGCCUAAUAAAUAUUCUUCCAUUGAUUGAAUCUCCCCGCAAGAAGUUUUAAUUGGGAAAGCAUUCCAUAUUUAGAUUCUUCUACCAUACAUACAGAUUACACAGCCCCUGGUCCCAAAAGCUUAAGAUGUUAGGGAAUGGCUGAACAAGGGAUGCCAAGCUUACACCCUCCCUCACAUGCAGCAUGUGGAGGUACAAACAGAUGGUAGGAGAAAAAUAACAUAAUAGUGCAGCCUGACCGUGCAUCAUUCACACAGCAUAGAAGCAGGCAUCAAGAUCAAAAGUUUUGAACCCAAUACCUCUUCCAAACAUAACCACUGGCCCCAAAAGCUUAAGUGAUGAGCGAAUGGAACUGCAAGAAUUAUCAGGAUUACAACAACAACUAUCCAUGUGUUGACAGAAGUAAACCCACCACUGCAUUUGCCUUGACAGUAACAAAAGAUGUACCUAUACAGUAACAAUAUGACAGAAUAACCCUAGAUAUUCAGUUACGCCUUUUAAUUGGAAUAUGUUCAGACAAAAUUUGGAAUGUCAAGGUGUGUGAUCGAAUUUCUAUUAUAAAUUUCAGAACAAAACUCAUUUAUUUCUUUUGUGUUUGCAAAGUCCUAGAAACUCAGUUCAACCAUAGUUUUCUAUUGGAAAGAUUACUUUGUACAAGUUUGAUCAACUUCGACCCAGAACACAAAAGAUUACUUCGACGCAGAACACAAAAGAUUACUUUGUACAAGUUUGAUCAAUAUGAAAUCUUGGGCAAGUUUCUAGAGCGUUCACUAUACUGGGAUACAAGCACAUGGCCGUAAUGUGCUGGCUUUUUGAACUUCACCUUAAUAAAGUUAUGUGUGUGGUGUUGUCAGAGAUAGAGUUCAAAACUAUAAGUUACUCUAGUAUAAUCUGGAUCACUAACACUAUGUACAGGUUCAAGUUGAGAAACACCUUUACUUAUGCAUAGCUUUAUGAUAUGUUGCUUGAUAUAUAUUUUUUAAAUAAAAACAAGUGGGGGAUUGUUGGAGCAAUUAUGUUUUUAUUUAAAUGUUUUAAAUAUUUAUAUUUUAGUUUAUUACAAACAUUAAAUUUAAAACAUAAUUUGUUAUCAUCCUUUGAUUGUAGACAGUUUUGCAUCCCAUAAAUCCCCAUAAAUAUCCUUGAUUUUGUACGGUUUCACACCCUCCAACGUGCAUCCCAUAAACAUCCAUGAUUUCUUACGGUUUCAAACCCUCCAAUGUCUAUUUCUUUAUAUAUAUAUAGAUUAUAUAUAGGUUAGAAAAAGUGCAGAACAAAGACGAAGUAAGAAAAGUUUUAUAUAUAUUGAUUUAUAAAAAGCAACAUAUUGGUAAGGUGUAAGUUCGAAGGUUCUUCCGAUGUGCAAGGAAGAAUCUUAUCAGAAGAAUGUUAUGGGCUGUUUUAUCCUGGGGACUACGUGGUGUUUGUGAACUGCUUGCACACUUUGGGCAGAGCCGCGAAACGUCUUAAAGAGAGCGACUUAGUCCGCGACUCAUCCCAAGAAUCAUUCACCACUCAAGGCUUUUACAUUUUCGGGUAACUUCGUUCCUUUCUAUUUUCAGUUUACAACAGUUCUUGCCUUUCCUAUUCCAUCGACCUCGUUUGUGGCUACGUCCUCGUUUAUGAUAAUCACCACCAGAGGAUGUGGCGUUUACUUCGAGGGAAGCAGCAUUCACUUCUGGGAAUGGUGCAGAUCCAGUAGGUCGAGAAUUAUGGUUUUUCAUCAGGAGCUCAUUAUUCUGUUCAGCUACCAGGAGCACAGAUAUCAGCUGGUUGUAUUCAAUGUAGCCUCGCGCUCUAUACUGCUGCUGCAGGAGCACAUUAUUGGCAUGAAAUGUGCUGUAAGUCUUUUCCAGCAACAUUUCCUCAGUAAUGGUAUCCCCACAAAGCUUCAUCUGAGAGGUAAUCAUGAACAACGCAGAAUUGUAUUUUGCCACUGAUUUGAAAUCCUGGAUUCUUAGGUGAGACCACUCAUAGCGAGCUCUUGGAAGAAUCAUCGUUGUCUGGUGAUUGUAUCUGCUUCUCAAGGCCUCCCAAAGAGCUAACGGAUCUUCAACCGUUAAGUAUUCACUCUUUAGUGCCUCAUCAAGAUGGCGGCGAAUAAAGAUCAUGGCCUUCGCCCGAUCUUGAGAGGAUGAGUUGCUUUCUUCCCUGAUGGUAUCUCCAAGAUUCCCUGCUUCUAGAUGGAUCUUGGUAUCCAGUACCCAGGUAAGGUAAUUCUUCCCAGUAAUGUCCAGGGCAGCAUAUUCAAGCUUUGCCAAGUUCGCCAUUUUCUUUUUUGAAAGAAAAUGAGAUGUGUAAGAACUUGCAAUCAUAUGUAUUCCUGGAGGAAUAUAAUGUUAGAACUUCUGGUUCUUACAAAUUUUUCAUUUUGAUCUUCAGACCAAAAUGAUAAGCACUCGAAACUUCUGGCUCGAGAUUUUCCAGAUGAAUGAGGAGGGCGAUUGUACCGCACCACUCUCAUAACAUAGAAUGGGUGAUUAUUCCACACCACUCAAGUAACAGAAAAUUGAAAUAUGCAGAGCAAGGUGGGCGAUUAUACCGCACCACCUAAAAUUGCAAUGAAAUUAAACAGCAGGUGAAUUUAAAUUUGCAGAGCAAGGUGGGCGAUUAUACCGCUCCACCUGAAAAAUUUGCAGUAAAAGUAGAUCUGCAGUCCAAGAUAGGCGAUGAUACCGCACCAUCUUGGAUUGCAGUAAGAUGAAAUUUGCAGUUCAAGAUGGGCGAUUGUACCGCACCAUCUUGGAUUGCAGUAAAAUAAAUACUGGGUUAGUAAUCAAUAUCCAAACCAAACAAGUAAUCAAAGAUGUAUGUAACCGCUAGUUGGAGAACUACAAUCAGGCAUGGAGCAAAUAGUUCGUCGCGAGGUUAUACCGCGCAGUUGAGGCAGAUGAAGAAGAUGAACAAGAAAAACCUUAGAGGAAACAUUUUUUUUUUUCGUUCGGCGGAGAGAAAUGAGAGAAUGAUUUCCUUUUUGUUUAGUGAAUGUAAAUGAGACAUGGUUAUAUUUAGAGACUCGUGCUGAUAACGUGUUAUAAAUAUGUCAAAGUUAGAGAGAUAACCUUUAUAGUGAGUGGAACGAAGCAGAAGUAAAAUAUCACACUGUAAUUAAAACACAAGGAGUUGAUAAAUUAAGGAGGGAGGAAUGGAUGAUAUUUGAUCUGUUUGUUUUCUAUCUGUUUUUCCGUAUCCUUUGAUUGCAUUCGAGUGCUCUAUUUAUAGGGCAACUCAAACAACCGUAUUAAUUGCAUAUGGAAAUUUACAGCAUGCAACCUUUGACAAACAUGAUCUCCUGCAUCCAAAGUCACUUUCUAAUUUGCAUGGUCAUUGAAAACUUCUACAAAUAUUUUCAGUUUCUACGUGGGCAUUCAAUACCCACUAGUAUUUUCAACAAAAUAAUUUGUAAGGGAGUUUGCAAAUAAUUAUAGAGAGGAGAGAGACGGACAUUGACAAUCGAACCAAUAUAUAUUAUAUAAUUAUAUUUGAUUUGGUUUUGUAUUAUUGAACAUACUGUGUUGUAGUCCCGAUUUCCAUAUCGAAAUUUCGGGUAUUAUUCAGUUUCCAUUACCGAAUAAUUCAGGAUUUUCAGGUUUUGUUUUUUUUUGAGUUUGGUUCAGAUUUUUCGAAUCGGAUUUCUUUCCUACCCUACAAAUAAAGUUAGAAAUAUCACAUUACUUAUAUAUAGCAAAGUGAUGUAAGCAGUACACAUCAUUGCUAUGCAAAUUUUUAGUUUGAUAUUAAAAUCUCUCUCAGUUUUUUUCAAUCAAUAAUUAAAAAAAAAAAAACUAAUCAAAAAGUUAGCUUUUCGAUAAUAAUCGUAGAUGGACUUUUUUUUUUUUUGGUUGUCCUGUUUGUGUACUAGCGAAUGGGUGGGUUCUUUUCAAACAAAUUUAAAAUUAAAAAAAAUAUAUCCGAAGGCAACAGGUCCAAAAGAGAGCCUAAUUGGAAAUGUAAUAAACACAUACCAUUUAUUGCUUAGGGAAGGUCAAUAUACUCUGCGCAAUAUCCCUAUUCCUCAAACACACAUUAUUGCUAGGUUUUGUAUCUUACAUUGUCCAAUGUUUUUAUUGAUUUUACGAUUACAUAGAUAUAUAACAACGAAAACCUCUUAUUCAUAUCACACACAUAAUAUUCUAUGUUUUCUUCUUUUAUCCAUAGAAUUCAGAAGAUAAGUGAGGUUCGAUGAGAAUAUUGAGUGGAGUUGCCUUAACGUUGGUCAGUCCAAAACUCUCCGUCAUAUCAAUUGGUGCACUCGACGGGUUUGAGAUUUCAAAUGCAUGUAGAAAACUAGCCAACGUAUAUUGCACCAAUUGAAGGCCAAAUGCCAUACCAGGGCAUGAUCUUCUACCACUUCCAAAAGGAAUAAACUGAAAAUGCUGACCCUUCAGAUCAACAUCCUUGUGCGUGGUUAGAAAUCUCUCUGGCUUGAACUCUAAUGGCUCGGACCAAUUUUUUGGGUCAACUUGGAUCUUCCAGAGGUUUGGGAUAAAUCGGGUGCCCUUUCGGAUAUGGUAGCCAGCAAUGGUGCAAUCUUCCUCGAAUACACGCGGCCCUGAUAAUGGUCCUGCUGGGUACAAACGUAACGUCUCCUUUACAAUAGCUUGGAUGUAGACCAAGUUGCUCAAAUCUUCCUCACUCACAACUCUUUGUCCGCCUAUUUUGGUGUCCAGUUCGUUUAGGGCUUUUUUCAUAGCGUGAGGGUGGUUCAGCAAUAACGAUAUUGCCCACGUCAUUGUCACCAUGGUGGUAUCGUUACCUCCUGCAAUAACAGUCUGCCAAAAAAAAUAUUUGCUUGAUUGAUUAGGGGAUAUCUAUAUUUAACAUCUAUACAUUCUUUAGGUGACGAAAAUAAAGAGACUAUUUUUAUAAAUCACAUCUUGUAAAAUCAAAGAAUGUGGCGGUUAAUAGUUGGAUUCUAUUUUUAAAGGUUUAAAGAAAGAAUCUAACGAUCAACCGUCAUAUCAUGUGGUCUACAGAGACAGUCUAAAAAGAUAAUCUAUCUACCAUCACCUAUUGGUGAGCACUCAAAUAUGUUGCAUGAGGCAUACAUAAAAUUGGAAAUCAUAUGUUUUCAAAAAAAUUUCUUGUCUUAUGUUUUCAUUUUCUUUUUAUAAACCAUGCAUUUAGCUUAAUUAAGUAUUGACACUAAAAAUAAAAUCUUGAUGUGUUGAGUGUCUUAACUCCAGCCUUUUAUGGUUAAUUAUUCGCCUGCAAAUUAAUGAAUUAUAUGUACGUACCAAGCUUGUGGCUUUGACGAUCGUAUCAGCAUCAAAACCGCCAAGGUCUGCACCAUCAAGCACAGAAAGCAUCGCAUCCAUGAAGUCCUGUUCUCCUUUUGCAUCACCUUUUGCUCUCCUCUGCUUAUGCUCUUCAAGCCACUCUGCAGCAAUUGCGUGCAUUUCCGUUGCACUUUUCUUCAUCGCCUUCUCAUAUCCACCCCAAUCCAACCACCGCAGAUAAGGAACUGCAUCACCCACCAAAAACAUGCCCAUAUAAUCAAAUAACUCCUUCAAUGCAGUCUGAACCUUAAGCGCUUCUUUCUUCUCAUCCCCAGUGGCAGCCACGGAGUACCGCUUUCCGACCACCAUUUUAAGAAUCACGUUCAGCAUCAUGUCCCCAAGCCAUGGUUUCAGGUCUACAACCACUCCAUCUUUCGAGCUCUCCUUCUUUGUACUCCAAAGUUCGUAUAAAUCUUUCAAGAAAGCAGUCACUUCAUAUGCUCGAAUGUGCUUGAGCAGCUCAACCUUCCGGACUGAGAGCAACUCCAAGGAGACUAGCUUGCGAAUUUCUCGCCAAUAGGGUCCAGAUGGUCCGAACCCAAACAUGGCGUAGUCGUAGCUAACGUGGUCUACAACCACCAUCUUUGGGCGGGAGAGUGAGCUCACGUCUUUGGUUGUGUAGCAUUCUUUUGCGAUCUCACUGCUGCUUAUCACCAAAGCCGGAUGGACGCCAAGGCGGAUAGUAAAAAUGGGUCCGUACUUGUCCGCCAUGGCUCCCAAAGUUCUGUGAGGAGGUAUGGAGUCUCCAAACAAAGGAAGGUGACCAAAUAUAGGCCAUCCACCCUUGGCUUCAGGUAGUGAUAAUUUGCCCUUGUGAUUUGCAGCUCUCCAUCUUCGUGAUAAGUAAUAGAACACGAUGAUUACUGUGAACAAGCCAGCAGUGAUAGAGUUUGCAUAUGGGAGAGAAUCCAUUUUUGCAACUCAAUCAUUAGAAAGCUAGAGGCAAAAUGAUUUUUAUUGAACUGGGUAAAGGCUUAAGUUGAUUUGCCUUGUCAUACACACACGUAUAUAUAGGAGUAUGGGCUUUAGUAUGAGAUAUUUUUCAGUGUGAUCCGAACACAGGGUGUUACACCAUGUGUCACUAUAUAAAUAGUGAAAUAUGUGUGUUAAAAAGUUAAUAACUUAAAAAAUAAAAUUCUGCACCAUUUAUAUAGAAACAUGUGGUGUACUAUCCGUAUUCCGAUCACAAUGAAAAAUUUCUCGUUUCGUACAUAUGGUUGUUUUGAAAUAGAUAACUCUUUAUCUUCGAGGCAUGUUGAGGGGAGAAAUGAAAAAAAUUAUGACUAACUAAAAGGUAAAAGAUAGAUUGUCGUUGUUUUUUUUUUGUUUUUUGAACAAAAGAUAUUAUCUAAAUUAAAGAGGUGGAGGAGUGGGCUAAGCUUCACAAUAGGUUAAUAAUAAUGUGGUUCAAAUUUUCCUUUGACAAUAAUCAAACAUAGAAACCCACAUAGAAUUAAUUGUGUACAUCAAACAUGCAAUAGGAAUAUUUUAAGCAUUCGAAAAAUGUAAAAUCUGUAAAGUAUAAUUGAUGAAUUUGCUUAUGUGGAUCUUAGUUAUUAAGAGAAAAAAUUAUGUUGGGUUCUACGUAGAACAUAGUGCUGGGCAUUUAAAAAAAAACCAACUAAAUUGCUCGAAUUGCACCCGCGGCUUGGUUUGGUUUUGUUUUUUUUUUUUGUUUUUUUAUUUUCAAUGGCUAAACCAAACCGCACCGAUCUUAAUCGGUUUGGCAAUUGGUUCCCAAAAUUCUUAGGGUGCGGUUAACCAAACUGACCCGCAUAUAUUUAAUUUUAUUUUUUAAUCAUAAUUAAUACGUGUAAUAAUAUAAUUGGUUAGUUAUUUAUGAGUUACCAUAUUUCCACCACAUGAAAACAAAACUUGGUUAGUUUAAGAGUCUCUUUAGAGAAGAACAAGGGGACCAUUUAGAGAAGGCAGCAACUGCUACUUUGGUGCUCCUCUAGAGCUGCUUCAUCUGUGCUUUUUUUUGAGCAAUUACUCAUAUUGAUGCUUCGUUAUGUAGCUUUUGGAAGACUUUUCUCGCUUGUUAAUGACGUGAUUGAUUACUUUUCAAAACUAUACUCUCUUU